CUCAUGUCACCAUGGCAUUAAUUUGGUCUCAACUCUACUGCUACAAUUCCAAUUGUACUACAUACUGCCUUAUUCUGCUCAGGACUGGGAGCCAAGCCCAAAGCCUCUGGCGGGAUCUACUAGUUGCUGUAAUGUAUCUGACGGUUAGAAUAUUAAGCAGAAGAAUGAGAAAGAAUGGUGUCAAUGGAGUCAAAAUCCGAUCAAACCAAUCAAAUAUUCUCCAUUCUAAAGAAGUGUAACGGAAUUUUCUCACACCACAAUACCAUGGAACACCGUUAAUGAGUAUUUUGCUUUGAACUUCAUGCAACAUAUAGCCACAAAUCGAUCAACAGUGAAUGCAACUGUCAACCACACAGAACUGUCUCUGGAUGCAUAAGUUAAAGCAAUUGUUAGACUGCAUAUGGGGGUAAUGGACAGGAAGCUACCAGGAAAAUAAAUGCCAGGAAUCCUGUUUAACAGCACUGCAGUUAUGAUGACCAAGAAGUCUGUCACGGCCAUCGAUACAAGGUAGCAAGUGAUACAUUUAGAGAGACCGCACCGUCCUUUGAUGAGGAUCACAAUUGCCACUAAAUUAACUAAAAGAAAUGACAGAAGAUAUGAAUUAACCACAUAUGAUAAAUGACAAUGUAAAAAAUGUGUUGAAAAUUCAAACUGAUUUCAACUUUGGUACAGCAUGUGAUGAAUUCUAUGCUACCAUGUAACUUAAAAAAUUGGAUAUUGGUUGAGAACAAGUUAGCAUUUGUCAGGAAUAUUGAUUUUUAUAAUUGCAAUCUGUAAAGAAAUACAAACAAUUACAGUAAGUGCAUCAAUUUGAAAUGGAUGAAAAUUGCUAAUUAUGGAAAUUUACGAAUAUAACACAAACCUUUAGCAGGAGAAAAUAUAUAAUUUAACUUCAAUGACACAUGAUGCAGUCAGAAAAAAAAAUGAUGUGGAGAUAGAAGAAUGGAUGGAAGUAUUUGCAGAAUGUUGAAAUU